GACGGUCGGAUGGCCGUUGUUCAGGCUUGUGGGUUUGAAUAGAGGAAAGUCCGGGCUCCACGGAAACACGGUGCCGGGUAACGCCCGGCGGAGGCGACUUCAGGGAAAGUGCCACAGAAAGCAAACCGCCCACCGAAGCCUCGGCAGAGGUGGGUAAGGGUGAAAGGGUGCGGUAAGAGCGCACCGCGUUGGCGGUAACGUCAAUGGCAGGGUAAACCCCACCGGGAGCAAGACCAAAUAGGGAUGACACACUUUUAGGAGUAGGCGGGUUUUCGCGCCGUUAUCCGGGUCGGUCGCAUGAGGCGUUCGGUAACGAAAGUCCCAGAUGAAUGGUCAUCACCUCUCAUCUUCGGGUGAGAGCGUACAGAACCCGGCUUACAGACCGUCUG
rnacentral:RNase_P_RNA from 1 species